AUGGCCACCUGCCUCUCUGAUAUGAUUAGUGACCAUUCUGUGGAUUUCCUGGGUCUUCAAGAGACCAUGAAAAAAAACUUUUCUCCUGGCUGUUUGAGGAGAAUUGAUCCUUUUAGUAUCUUUAGUUGGAACUGGAUUCCCUCUGUUGGGAAAUUUGGGGGUAUCCUGUGUGGUGUUAGAAGUGAUAGUUUGGACAUCGUCUCCUGUGAUAAGGGCAAAUACAUUUUGCAGCUAGUUCUGUAUGAUAAGAAAAAGAAAACUAGUUGGGGUUUGCUAAUAGUCUAUGGAUCUGCUCAUGAGGAAAUUAAGGAGGAAUUCCUCAUUGAGCUCGCCACUAUGUGUGACUGUAUGCAUGUCCCAUACAUUGUGGGUGGGGACUUCAAUAUCCUUAGGCAUCCUGGGGAGAAAAACAAGAAGAUGGCUAGUCACAAAUCCUCUGAUAUCUUCAACUCCAUUAUUAAUACCCUGGCACUUAGAGAAAUCCAUAUUAGUGGUGGCAAGUAUACUUGGACUAAUAAUCAAACCCACCCCACUCUGGAGAAGCUGGAUCGCAUCCUGAUGUCUGAGUCCUAGGAGGAUUUGUUCCCUUUAGUUUCUGUCAGAAAGUUGGUCCGUGAGAUUUCAGACCAUAAUCCCUUGUUGCUGUCCACG
rnacentral:rRNA from 1 species